GACGAACGCUGGCGGCGUGCUUAACACAUGCAAGUCGAACGGAAAGGCCCUGCUUUUGUGGGGUGCUCGAGUGGCGAACGGGUGAGUAACACGUGAGUAACCUGCCCUUGACUUUGGGAUAACUUCAGGAAACUGGGGCUAAUACCGGAUAGGAGCUCCUGCUGCAUGGUGGGGGUUGGAAAGUUUCGGCGGUUGGGGAUGGACUCGCGGCUUAUCAGCUUGUUGGUGGGGUAGUGGCUUACCAAGGCUUUGACGGGUAGCCGGCCUGAGAGGGUGACCGGCCACAUUGGGACUGAGAUACGGCCCAGACUCCUACGGGAGGCAGCAGUGGGGAAUAUUGCACAAUGGGCGAAAGCCUGAUGCAGCAACGCCGCGUGCGGGAUGAUGGCCUUCGGGUUGUAAACCGCUUUCGCCUGUGACGAAGCGUGAGUGACGGUAAUGGGUAAAGAAGCACCGGCUAACUACGUG
rnacentral:rRNA from 1 species